UACGUAGGGUGCAAGCGUUAAUCGGAAUUACUGGGCGUAAAGCGUGCGCAGGCGGUUUUGUAAGUCUGUCGUGAAAGCCCCGGGCUCAACCUGGGAAUUGCGAUGGAGACUGCAAGGCUUGAAUCUGGCAGAGGGGGGUAGAAUUCCACGUGUAGCAGUGAAAUGCGUAGAGAUGUGGAGGAACACCGAUGGCGAGGGCAGCCCCCCUGGGUCAAGAUUGACGCUCAUGCACGAAAGCGUGGGGAGCAAACAGG
rnacentral:rRNA from 1 species